AUUGAACGCUGGCGGCAUGCCUUACACAUGCAAGUCGAACGGCAGCACGGGGGCAACCCUGGUGGCGAGUGGCGAACGGGUGAGUAAUACAUCGGAACGUGCCCGGUAGUGGGGGAUAGCUCGGCGAAAGCCGGAUUAAUACCGCAUACGACCCACGGGUGAAAGCGGGGGAUCGCAAGACCUCGCGCUAGCGGAGCGGCCGAUGUCAGAUUAGGUUGUUGGUGGGGUAAAGGCCACCAAGCCGACGAUCUGUAGCUGGUCUGAGAGGACGACCAGCCACACUGGGACUNAGACACGGCCCAGACUCCUACGGGAGGCAGCAGUGGGGAAUUUUGGACAAUGGGCGCAAGCCUGAUCCAGCCAUGCCGCGUGCGGGAAGAAGG
rnacentral:rRNA from 1 species